rnacentral:rRNA from 1 species
UACGUAGGGGGCUAGCGUUGUCCGGAAUCAUUGGGCGUAAAGCGCGUGUAGGCGGUUCGGUAAGUCCGCUGUGAAAGUCGAGGGCUCAACCCUCGAAUGCCGGUGGAUACUGUCGGACUAGAGUGCGGAAGAGGCGAGUGGAAUUCCUGGUGUAGCGGUGAAAUGCGCAGAUAUCAGGAGGAACACCAAUUGCGAAGGCAGCUCGCUGGGACGUUACUGACGCUGAGACGCGAAAGCGUGGGGAGCAAACAGG